rnacentral:rRNA from 1 species
UAACACGUAGGUAACCUGCCCAUGUGUCCGGGAUAACUGCUGGAAACGGUAGCUAAAACCGGGUAGGUAUACAGAGCGCAUGCUCAGUAUAUUAAAGCGCCCAUCAAGGCGUGAACAUGGAUGGACCUGCGGCGCAUUAGCUAGUUGGUGAGGUAACGGCCCACCAAGGCGAUGAUGCGUAGCCGGCCUGAGAGGGUAAACGGCCACAUUGGGACUGAGACACGGCCCAA